CCCUUAGAUGGUCUGGGCGGCACGCGCGCUACACUGACGAAGUCAGCGAGCAUGUCCUACGCCGACAGGUGCGGGGAAUCUUGUCAAACUUCGUCGUGAUGGGAAUUGAUUAUUGAAAUUCUUGAUCAUCAACGAGGAAUUCCUAGUAAGCGCAAGUCAGCAGCUUGCGUUGAUUACGUCCCUGCCCUUUGUACACACCGCCCGUCGCUACUACCGAUUGAAUGGUUUAGUGAGAUCUUCGGAUUGGUGCCACUGCGGCUCAGCAAUGGGCUCGGUGGAUGCCGAAAAGUUGAUCAAACUUGAUCAUUUAGAGGAAGUAAAAGUCGUAACA
rnacentral:rRNA from 1 species